rnacentral:lncRNA from 1 species
UUUUUUUUUUUUUUUUUUUUUGUGACAUAGUUUUUAAUUCACCAUUGUCCUUUGAGGGGAUGGAGGUAAUCUCAGAGAUUUCCAUUUGGUCUUUUCUACGAUAGCUCAACACUUACAGGCCAACAAUUGCACAUCAGAGUAACUCCAACUCCAAAGUAUGUCAAUACUUAUUGUAAAUUAAGGGAUAUACAAAAUUACCACCAGUUGGUCUGUGAACCCAGUAGAUCCAUUGUAAGAUAGACAUUGGUCAGGAAUCCACUUAUUACCUGACCCCCGCAUAUGACUUUUAAUAUGUGGACCAUGAGAAUGCUUUUAGGUCUCUGGAUAUCAUUGUUAACUCAGGCCCUUGUGUGGGAGACUUCAAGAUGUCUGGGUAAUUUCCUUUUUCUAAUGUACAGUUGCUCAAGUAAAUGGUCAUAGGUCCCUGUGACAGAAAGACUAAGAUCUUCCUCAAUGAUCUCUGAAUUCUGAUAGGCAGUCUUUGUAUAAUCCCCUUCUCUUGAGAGUGGCCUAACUUAGCAAAUUAUUUCUAACCAAUAGAAUAUGGCAAAGGUCAUAGGAAGCUACUUCCAUGAUUACAAAAGAGAACUUCUUUUUGUUGGAAGACUCUUUAUUGACUGUCUUGCUUGCUUUGAUGAAGUCAGAUGCCAUACUGGAGAAGCCCAUUCAGCAAUGAACUGAAAUUGGACCCGGGCCAACAACCAGCAUGAAACUGAUGUCCUUAGUCUAAUAGCCUAUAAGGAACUAGAUCCUGCAAGUAACUAUGUGAGCUUGGAAGUGAUCCUUUCCCAGUUGUUCCUUCAGGUAAAAUUUGGCCCAUAUCUUAACUGUAACCUUUUUUUUUUUUAAGUUUUAUUUAAGUAAUCUCUACAUCCAUCACAGGGCUCCACUCACAACUCUGAGAUCAAGUGUCAUAUGCUCUUCCAACUGAGCCAGCCAGGCACCACUUGAUUAUAGCCUUAUGUUAGACCUUGAAGUAGAGGCCCCAGCAAGGUUGUGCUUAAUCUCAUGAACCUCAGAAACUGUGAGAUAAAGACUAUGUGUUGCUCUAAGCUGCUAAAUUUGUGGUAGCUUGUUACAAAGUAAUAGAUAAUACAGUGUAAUAAGGGGUAUGAUUCCAUUUUUGACAUUUGACUGCUGUGUAUGGCUUGCUUUAGUGAAGGUAGGAAAGUUCAAACUAUGCAAACCCCAACCUCUUCAUGGGAACCCUUACAGAGCCCCAUCCCUAAGCACAAUAAAAACCCAAGCCACUCUCCCCUCCCUUAGUGCUCAAUCCAUUCUGAGACCUACUUGGAAUCCUGCCUUAUUCUCCCCAGAGAAAUCUCACUAUGUAAUAAGCCUUUCUAUAUCCUGUUGGUGCAAAUGUGCUACUAUCAAUUUUGACACCCAAACCGAAUUCUGAGUUGACAGUCUAUCCCACAUCUGUAGGGUGGCUGCAAAAAUUAGAGCAGUGGGCAGAAUGUCUAAGCAAUAGCUACUAUUAUCAGGGGUCUUUCUUCUCAUGCUUUGGUUUGCUAUCAAGCUCUGUCGCCUUUUGGCAACUAUGCAUUUUCAGUUGUUGCCAACUGGAAAGCAUGUUGUUUGAUCUGUGCUGCUGUCUGGAGAGUUUGUGCUUUGAGCUUUGCCACUUUGCACUGUAUUUUCUGAGUCCUACCAAACCUCUAUUAUAGAUUUAACUGACCUAAAUCAGAAGUUUUGAUAAUGAGCUUUUACAGGAGUGAGAUUGAGGCCUUCCUUAAAGUAGCCCUGGGUCAUGUGUCUUUACCCAAAUCUCUAUCUCAGAUUGAGCCUGCUUCUCCCUCUACCUAUGUCUCUGUCUCUCAUGAAAAAAGAAAUAAAAUAUUAAAAAAAAAAAAAAAAAAAAAA